rnacentral:ncRNA from 1 species
AUUCUGGUUGAUCCUGCCAGUAGUUAUAUGCUUGUCUCAAAGAUUAAGCCAUGCAUGUCUAAGUACACACGAAUUAAAAGUGAAUCCGCAAAAGGCUCAUUAUAUCAGUUAUGGUUCCUUAGAUCGUUAACAGUUACUUGGAUAACUGUGGUAAUUCUAGAGCUAAUACAUGCAAUUAAAACACGGACCUUAUGGGACGUGUGCUUUUAUUAGGCUAAAACCAAGCGAUCGUAAGAUCGUUACAUUGGUUGAACUCUAGAUAACAUGCAGAUCGUAUGGUCUUGUACCGACGACAGAUCUUUCAAAUGUCUGCCCUAUCAACUUUUGAUGGUAGUAUCUAGGACUACCAUGGUUGCAACGGGUAACGGGGAAUCAGGGUUCGAUUCCGGAGAGGGAGCCUGAGAAACGGCUACCACAUCUAAGGAAGGCAGCAGGCGCGUAAAUUACCCACUCCCAGCUCGGGGAGGUAGUGACGAAAAAUAACAAUACAGGACUCAUAUCCGAGGCCCUGUAAUUGGAAUGAGUACACUUUAAAUCCUUUAACAAGGACCAAUUGGAGGGCAAGUCUGGUGCCAGCAGCCGCGGUAAUUCCAGCUCCAAUAGCGUAUAUUAAAGUUGUUGCGGUUAAAACGUUCGUAGUUGAACUUGUGCUUCAUACGGGUAGUACAACUUACAAUUGUGGUUAGUACUAUACCUUUAUGUAUGUAAGCGUAUUACCGGUGGAGUUCUUAUAUAUAAUUAAGUACUUGUAUUUUUUUAUAUAUUCCUCCUAUUUAAAAACCUGCAUUAGUGCUCUUCAUCGAGUGUUAUUGUGGGCCGGUACAAUUACUUUGAACAAAUUAGAGUGCUUAAAGCAGGCUUCAAAUGCCUGAAUAUUCUGUGCAUGGGAUAAUGAAAUAAGACCUCUGUUCUGCUUUCAUUGGUUUUCAGAUCAAGAGGUAAUGAUUAAUAGAAGCAGUUUGGGGGCAUUAGUAUUACGACGCGAGAGGUGAAAUUCUUGGACCGUCGUAAGACUAACUUAAGCGAAAGCAUUUGCCAAAGAUGUUUUCAUUAAUCAAGAACGAAAGUUAGAGGUUCGAAGGCGAUCAGAUACCGCCCUAGUUCUAACCAUAAACGAUGCCAGCUAGCAAUUGGGUGUAGCUACUUUUAUGGCUCUCUCAGUCGCUUCCCGGGAAACCAAAGCUUUUGGGCUCCGGGGGAAGUAUCAUAG